rnacentral:rRNA from 1 species
UACGUAGGGACCGAGCGUUGUCCGGAAUCAUUGGGCGUAAAGAGCGUGUAGGCGGCUAGGUAGGUGGGUUGUGAAAACUGGAGGCUCAACCUUCAGACGUCGACCCAAACCCCCUGGCUAGAGUCCGGAAGAGGAGAGUGGAAUUCCUGGUGUAGCGGUGAAAUGCGCAGAUAUCAGGAAGAACACCCGUGGCGAAGGCGGCUCUCUGGGACGGUACUGACGCUGAGACGCGAAAGCGUGGGGAGCGAACAGG